CCCGCACAAGCGGUGGAGCAUGUGGUUAAUUCGACGCAACGCGAAGAACCUUACCAGGGCUUGACAUCCCCUGACCGCGUAUGAAAGUACGUUUUCACCCUCGGGUGACAGGGAGACAGGUGGUGCAUGGUUGUCGUCAGCUCGUGUCGUGAGAUGUUGGGUUAAGUCCCGCAACGAGCGCAACCCCUACGUUUAGUUGCUAACGCGUGAAGGCGAGCACUCUAGACGAACUGCCGUUGACAAAACGGAGGAAGGUGGGAUGACGUCAAAUCAUCAUGCCCCUUAUGUUCUGGGCUACACACGUGCUACAAUGGCCGGUACAGACGGACGCAAAGCCGCGAGGCGGAGCAAAUCCGAAAAAGCCGGUCUCAGUUCGGAUUGCAGGCUGCAAUUCGCCUGCAUGAAGUCGGAAUCGCUAGUAAUCGCAGGUCAGCAUACUGCGGUGAAUACGUUCCCGGGCCUU
rnacentral:rRNA from 1 species